rnacentral:rRNA from 1 species
CGGGGAUUUGCGCAUGGGCGCAGCCUGAUGCAGCGACGCCGCGUGGGGGAUGAAGGCCUUCGGGUUGUAAACCCCUUUCGACCGGGACGAUUGUGACGGUACCGGUGGAAGAAGCCCCGGCUAACUCCCUGGCAGCAGCCGCGGUAAUAGCCCCGGUAAUAAACCGC